ensembl:snRNA U1 U1 spliceosomal RNA
AUACUUACCUGGAGGGGGGAGAUACCGUGAUCAAUAAUGCGGUUCACCCAGGGCGAAUCUCAGUCAUUGCACUCCGGCUGAACCCUGCGAAUUCCCCAAAUGUGGGACUCUCGACUGCAUAAUUUCUGGUAGUGGGGGACUGCGUUCGCGCUUUCUCCGU